CUAAGUUUGAUGGCGACCGGCGCACGGGUGAGUAACACGUAUCCAACCUGCCGAUGACUCGGGGAUAGCCUUUCGAAAGAAAGAUUAAUACCCGAUGGCAUAGUUCUUCCGCAUGGUGGAACUAUUAAAGAAUUUCGGUCAUCGAUGGGGAUGCGUUCCAUUAGGUUGUUGGUGGGGUAACGGCCCACCAAGCCUUCGAUGGAUAGGGGUUCUGAGAGGAAGGUCCCCCACAUUGGAACUGAGACACGGUCCAAACUCCUACGGGAGGCAGCAUG
rnacentral:rRNA from 1 species